GGCUGAAAUUCGCCUUCCAUGAAGCCGGAAUUGCUAGUAAUGGCAGGUCAGCAUACUGCCGUGAAUACGUUCCCGGGCCCUUGUACACACCGCCCGUCACACCAUGAGAGUUGGGAAUACCCGAAGCCUGUGAGCUAACUUUAGGGAGGCAGCAGUCGAAGGUAGAAUCAAUGAUUGGGGUGAAGUCGUAACAAGGUAGC
rnacentral:rRNA from 1 species